AUUGAUAAUAUGUUAUCUACGUCGGAUGGUUGGCGUUAACCAUUAAUACCAAAAACUCGAGCUGUGAGAAAUACGUAAUUCAUUUAAAACGUAUAAACACAGCACUUACGAGUCUCGAUUAAUUGUAACUCAGCUCAACCAGCCUUAUACUAUUUCUAACAUGAUUUGACCCAACCCGCCUCCCAUUAUUUCGAACGUGACUUAACUCAAUCUGUCCCUCCGUAUAGGAUGCCGACUCUUUUAAGCCAACGAUCUAAUUAACCUAGCUACUCUUA
rnacentral:lncRNA from 1 species